CAGGCGGUGUGGCCGUGGGCCGCGGCGAUGCACAGGGGCGUGGGAGGAUGCACGAUUUCUGUCCCAGUGGGAAGGGAUGGCCUUCCAGUGGACGUGACCUCCCCUGCAUGGGGUCGGAAGGAUGAGAUGGCAAAGGAGCGUCUGGUCACCUGCAAAUUGGACAUGCCUCAAACGCAUAGAAUGGAAUGGAAUCUUUGGUUUCCAAAUGCAGAGAAGGACUGGCUGAUCUCAGGAAGACGGAAGCAUCACAGAAAAACAAAAAAAAGUAACCUAAAUAUUACCUGUGACCUCCCUAUGCCUCAAGGCUGGUAAACUUUGCUCAAAGCCUAUAAUUCCAUGACUUGUGGAAGUGUGGAGCCCUCAGGGGGAUUUCUGUGCACUCCUAGGGGCAAAGGUGGGGCUUUCUCUCCUUGACCUGUGUCUUCAGUGUGCUUGGGUCUCUGUGUGCCAACCUGUGCAUAAGCACAGCUGUGCCUGAAGCUUCUCUGCUGAUGCCAAGUGUGCUGUGGUCUCUGAGGGCCCAGGGCGGGCCGUGGAGCUUACAGGGCCUCCUUCGCCUUGCCUUCUAUCUCGCCAUCUUUUCCAUUCCUUACUUUCUUUCUUCUCCCCUGUGCUUAAUUUUAUGUCUCAAUUUGGCUAGGACCCCAGUGCCCAGAGACUUGGCCCAACACUAGUCUAGAUGUUUCUAUGAAGGUGUUUUUGGGAUCAGAUUAGAAUUUCUUGAACCGGCAGACUUGGAGUGAAGCCGAUGGCUCUCCCUAAUGUGUGUGGGCCUCCAUCAAUCAGUUGAACGUCUGAAUAGAACAAAAGACUGACUUUCCCUGAGCAAGAAGGAAUUCUGGCGGCAGACAGCCUUUGGUCUCAACCUCAGGUCUUCCCUGGGUCUCCAGCCUAUCAGCCCACCCUGCUGAUGAUGGAUUUACCAAGUCUGCACAAUAGUAUGAGCCAAUUCUUGAAGAGAAAUUCUCUCUCUCUCCCUACAUAACUGUUGGUUCUGUUCCUCUGGAGAACACUGACUAAUACACCCUCUUCCUCCUUUCAGCUCAUUUGUGUGAUUUUCCAGCUUCUGUUCCAUCUGCACUUGAGGUGCCAGGCACUGUAGUUCCUGCCCAACAUCCAUUCUCCUUCCACCUGCCCAACACAGCCUGGCUUUCUUGGUGGGGGCACUGUGCCCAGCCCCUGGGGAUGAGUCAUGUUGAUUUAGGUCAGUAGUGUCAGUCCCAGUCUCCUUUGCCUGCACUCAAUGUCCAGUCUCCCUUGCAACCCAGUUCUGGCUGCUGGGGUGAGUCUGGGAAGUUAUGUGCUUUCCUGAUCAAGAGGGACAGAAGUGACUGGCAACACCCUUUCCUGUUCUUGUUUCCUUGAACAUGGACAUGAUAUCUGGAGGUGCAGCAGCCACAUCACAGCUGGGAGGCAACAGAUAUGAAAUGAAGGAUUAACACAGAAAGGAGAGUGGGAUGGAAAGCGGGGGAGAGACUGGGGAUGACAUUUCUGAACCCCUGCCCCAGCUCUGGGGCCCCAGCCACCAGACCUCUUGUCUUUAUGCCAUAAGCACUUUCUGUGUGUUUUCUGUUACAUACAACUGAAGGCAUUCUUGGUUGAUACAGGUAGUGUAUUUACUCUGCCUUUCAAUCAUGGAAAUGUCCUGGUUUUAGUCUAAGGAGGUGCAGGGGGAAUGGCUCAGCCAGUGAAGAACUUGAGUUGAUCCUCCCAAGCCUUCUAUUCUUUGAUAAUAGUAACGACCUGCCUUCUAUGAUAAAACCCCAGUGGAUUUUGCAAUGACAACAGCCAACUCCAGACUCCCCAAGUGGAGGAGCAAUGGCACCAUAGUUUGGGCUCAUGAAUGAAUAGUAGCCAGCGCCACUGGAGUGACUACCUUUUAGUGUCACAGACCCUGACAAAUGGACCCUGAUAGAGACAUCCUUGGAAUCUCUGGCAAUGGACUCCUCCCAGAAGGGAAAUACGAACUCUGAGGAUCUGCCUGCUGUUCAGAGGCUUGACCGAACUGCAGAGUAUAAUUGGUCUCUGCUUCUUUCUUUGACCAAAGAACUGGGGGUUUUGGAGAUUUUUGAGCUUAAAUUUCCAAGCACAAAUACUUUGCAGCAUCAAAUAUCUUACAUGUAGGGAGAAAUCUAGCACUAGUACAUUUGUGUAGAUACAAUGACAUGAGGGGUAGUGACCACAGGAAAAUGAUCAGCACUGGGGUAAGGCAAUUUAAAGAAACAAAAUGAGAAUUAUUAGAGACUGCUAUCAAACUUCAAAUCAGAAGGGAGGUAAAGAUGAAGCACUUGUUAGGCAGAUAAUAAGAUGACAAAGCCUCAAAAUACGGCACUCAUGGAUCUUAAUUACCAAGCUAUCUGCUGGGUGUUUAAUCAGUGGCACAUACACUAUGCUAAUUAUUCCGGCUAAUUUCGUUAUAAUGCAAUUCUUUAUCAACCCUGCUAUGUAAAAAUUAGGAAUUGAAAUGUAACUAACACAAAUUAUAUUUAAGGCAACAUGAAUUUCUUUAUUUCAGCAUGAAAUCUUCUAGUCUCUAUUUCUUUAUCUUUCUUUCUGUGAUUAUCUAAUGUCACCCCCUCCCCAACCCAGCCCCCCACAGCCUAAACCAUCAUUUGAGGAGAAAGGAACCCAGCACAAAUAUUUCCCCUUUUAACUUCUAGGAAAUCAUUCGUUUGACUUUCUCCUUCAGCGAUUGUCCUUGAAAGGUGUAGAAUAUAUUUAAGCAAUCAGUGACAGACGGAUCCUAGCUUUCUCUGCAUCAGAUAAAGGUCGCUUUAUUGUUCUAUUUUAAUUUUUAAAUAAUCAUUGGAGGGUGCCAUAAUUCAUGUAUUUUCAGUGAUGUAUGUAACUUACAUCAAGUUGUGUUUACAAAUGUGUUUAGAUGAGGGCUAAUAACACAUAUCUUGUAGAGAAGCAUAAAUAUUGUCUGGAAUUUUUAAUGUCAUGCAGCUCUGCAUCCAAAGAGGUCAGGACUGCCAGGCUUGUGAUUUUCUCCUCCAUCAAUACUUUUGGUUUUGAACAAAUUUGCAGCAAAAUAACAAAGCCUAAUAAAUCAGUUGAUAAAACCGGGGUCUAAUUUAGUCCCAGCACUAAGUCCGUUGCCAAGGGAGGGCCAUGGUCUGGAAGAAAUGAACAGUCGCAAGUCCACAGACCCCCCUGUGACCUCAGAGAAAGGGACAAGCACUGUGCCUGUCUAGACUCACUCAAACUGACCGAGACAUAGCCCUGUCUGUGGAUUCACCUCUGAGACUCAUUUCUUCUUUGGGCCUGAAAUGUCCCUGCUUUUCCCUGAUAGCGUGGAAAGCAGCUCCUUCAUCCCCUGGUCCCCUGGGUGCUGUUGGGUGCAUACUCGCCUCCAGAUCCAGCUGCUGGGCCCUCCCCACUCUGGGUCAGCUGGGGCUUUGCUCCCAGGACAGAGGCUUCCAUCAUCUCGCAUCAUCCUCUCUCCUGUCUUUGAUUCCCUCUGUCUUAUUUUUAUUUCUCCUAAUUCCCAGCUCCGGCGACAUAGACGUUUCUUCUUGUGGUCAGAAGCUUUUUAAUUUUGCUAAAGAUUAAUGCUUUUUUUUUUUUUUUUUUUUUUUUGACAGAAUCUCACUCUGUUGCCCAUGCUGGAGUGCAGUGGUACAAUCACUGCUCACUGCAGCCUCUACGUCCCGGGCUCAUUCUAAUCCUCCCACCUCAGCCUCCCAAGUAGCUGGGACUACAGGUGUGUGCCACCAUGCCAGGCUAAUUUUUAAAUUCUUUUUAGCAGAGAGAGGGUCUCACUAUGUUGCCCAGGCUGGUUUCAAACUCCUGGGCCCAAGCAAUCCUCACGCUUCAGCCUCCCAAAGUGCUGGGGUUACAGUUGUGAGCCACCAUGUCCAAAUUGAAUUCCUUUUCAAUGAGUCUUUUCUAGCUUUUCUGUCUUGACAGUUUUGACUGAGAUGUUUGUGUGAAUGUAUUUUCCAUUCUGUGCGGGGCCAGGCUCACCCAUCAAUCCACCAGGCUGCAGUAGCCACUUUGUAGUGCAAUCUUGGUACUUGAACUUGAGGCGGCUCUUUGUGCAACGAGAGAGCAGGAGCCACUUUCAUUUCCUGUGUGUCUUCAGAGGCUGGAAACAAUGCAAUGGGAUGUGGGCACAGACUAGAUGUGAUG
rnacentral:lncRNA from 10 species